CGAAGGCUCCAAAGGAAGCCACGGCUAACUCUGUGCCAGCAGCCGCGGUAAUACAGAGGUGGCAAGCGUUGUUCGGAAUUAUUGGGCGUAAAGAGCACGUAGGUGGGUUUGUAAGUCAGAUGUGAAAGCCUUCUGGUCAACGGAAGAAUUGCAUCUGAGACUACAAGUCUUGAGUGUAGGAGGGGAGAAUGGAACUUCUGGUGGAGCGGUGAAAUGCGUAGAUAUCAGAAGGAACGCCGGCGGCGAAAGCGAUUCUCUGGCCUAUUACUGACACUCAGUGUGCGAAAGCUAGGGGAGCAAACGGGAUUAGAUACCCCGGUAGUCCUAGCUGUAAA
rnacentral:rRNA from 1 species